GCCCAGGUGUUGUAACGGUAGCCAAGCUGCCUUGAGGUGGCAGUGUCCGCAAGGACGUGGGAGUUCAAAUCUCCCCCUGGGCA
rnacentral:tRNA from 1 species